rnacentral:lncRNA from 1 species
CCGGAGGGUGGUGACGUCACCGGGGUUCCCUGCGUGGCUCGCAGGGGCGGGGCCAGAAACUGCCGCGAUGAAUGUCAGUCCCCAGAGCCGGAACCGUUCCCGGUUUUCUCUACUUGGAUCUGAGAACUCUGUCCCUCCAGCCCUGCGAGCGCUUUGCCAGGGUGACGGGCGGAAAUGUCCCCGCAUCCGUGCCUGCUUUCCCAGAUGGGACCCUCCAGCAGUCCCCUCCACUGCCCGUGCUUCCUCCUAACCACUUCCCCCCAGCGACCGCGGAAGGCGCUUCCUCCCCCGCAGCGCGAGCCCCAAGCUCCUCCAGAGCCCCAGCUCUCCCCGCCCCCUUCCCGACCUUGUUUCAUAUGACCCCUCCCCCGCACAUACUCAAUUUCGUCUUCCCAAGGCGCCCACUCUCCACAUCCUGAUGAAAAAAAGAGCCGGCUGCUGUCCUAUGUUAUUGUCAUACUUCUUUCCUCCCGUGCACUACACAACUUGAACAACUU